UGCAUAUCCAAUAACGGAGGAAAAGAAACCAACAGGGAUUGCCUCAGUAACGGCGAGUGAAGCGGCAAAAGCUCAAAUUUGAAACCCUCGGGAUUGUAAUUUGAAGAUUUGGCAUUGGAGAAAGCUAACCCAAGUUACUUGGAAUAGUACGUCAUAGAGGGUGACAACCCCGUCUGGCUAACCGUUCUCCAUGUAUUGCCUUAUCAAAGAGUCGAGUUGUUUGGGAAUGCAGCUCAAAGUGGGUGGUAAACUCCAUCUAAAGCUAAAUACUGGUGAGAGACCGAUAGCGAACAAGUACUGUGAAGGAAAGGUGAAAAGAACUUUGAAAAGAGAGUGAAAUAGUAUGUGAAAUUGUUGAUAGGGAAGGAAAUGAGUGGAGAGUGGUUUAGGUUUCAGCCUUCUUUCGAGGGGGUGCACUACCAACGCCGAGUCAUUGAUAGCGAGACAGGGGUUAUAAACGGACGGCACUUGUGCUAUUCUCCUAACCCCUCUACUGCCACCAACGACAUAAUCCACCCAUUUCACCCGUCUUGAA
rnacentral:rRNA from 1 species